GACGAACGCUGGCGGCGUGCUUAACACAUGCCAGUCGAACGGAAAGGCCCUGCUUUUGUGGGGUGCUCGAGUGGCGAACGGGUGAGUAACACGUGAGUAACCUGCCCUUGACUUUGGGAUAACUUCAGGAAACUGGGGCUAAUACCGGAUAGGAGCUCCUGCUGCAUGGUGGGGGUUGGAAAGUUUCGGCGGUUGGGGAUGGACUCGCGGCUUAUCAGCUUGUUGGUGGGGUAGUGGCUUACCAAGGCUUUGACGGGUAGCCGGCCUGAGAGGGUGACCGGCCACAUUGGGACUGAGAGACGGCCCAGACUCCUACGGGAGGCAGCAGUGGGGAAUAUUGCACAAUGGGCGGAAGCCUGAUGCAGCAACGCCGCGUGCGGGAUGACGGCCUUCGGGUUGUAAACCGCUUUCGCCUGUGACGAAGCGUGAGUGACGGUAAUGGGUAAAGAAGCACCGGCUAACUACGUGC
rnacentral:rRNA from 1 species